rnacentral:rRNA from 1 species
UUGGAGGGCAAGUCUGGUGCCAGCAGCCGCGGUAAUUCCAGCUCCAGUAGCGUAUAUUAAAGUUGUUGCAGUUAAGAAGCUCGUAGUUGAACUUCGAGGUUUACCCAUUGGUCAGGCUUAAUUGUCUGCACUGGUGAGAUGAAUCUCUACCUUCUGAGGAACUUUCAUGCCAUUUAUUUGGUGUGAUUGGAAAUCAGGGCUGUUACUUUGAAAAAAUUAGAGUGUUUAAAGCAGGC